AGCGGGCUUGGUCAAGAGCAGGAGGCGGAGGUGGUGGAAGGCUGUUUCCCUGCGGUGACAGAAACUCCAUUUGCACCAGCUUACAUUAAAAAAAGAGGAGGGAGAAUAUGGUCGAGUGACCCCAGGAGUGAUAGGGAGCACUGACGGAGUUUCUCCCUGCUCUGGAUAGCAGAUCCGCUGGCUCCCAGCUUAUGAUCCAUGAAGAGAAC
rnacentral:lncRNA from 1 species